rnacentral:ncRNA from 1 species
GUAGUGGGUAGAGGCUAAGAACUUCGUCCUGUAUGUGGGCACCGUGGGGCGAAGGAAGCCAAUGGUGCGACCGUCUACCGUUUAA